GAAAGAAAAAAUCUUCUCUUACCAGGUUUAAGAUUAUUUCAGGAACCUGAGUGACUGCUUCCCUGGGAAGCAGAAGGCAUGAGCUGACCUUCUGCAUAUUGGUGAUACAGUUCAUACAUGGAAA